AGAGUUUGAUCCUGGCUCAGAUUGAACGCUGGCGGCAGGCCUAACACAUGCAAGUCGAGCGGAUGAGUGGAGCUUGCUCCAUGAUUCAGCGGCGGACGGGUGAGUAAUGCCUAGGAAUCUGCCUGGUAGUGGGGGACAACGUUUCGAAAGGAACGCUAAUACCGCAUACGUCCUACGGGAGAAAGCAGGGGACCUUCGGGCCUUGCGCUAUCAGAUGAGCCUAGGUCGGAUUAGCUAGUUGGUGAGGUAAAGGCUCACCAAGGCGACGAUCCGUAACUGGUCUGAGAGGAUGAUCAGUCACACUGGAACUGAGACACGGUCCAGACUCCUACGGGAGGCAGCAGUGGGGAAUAUUGGACAAUGGGCGAAAGCCUGAUCCAGCCAUGCCGCGUGUGUGAAGAAGGUCUUCGGAUUGUAAAGCACUUUAAGUUGGGAGGAAGGGCAGUAAGUUAAUACCUUGCUGUUUUGACGUUACCGGCAGAAUAAGCACCGGCUAACUUCGUGCCAGCAGCCGCGGUAAUACGAAGGGUGCAAGCGUUAAUCGGAAUUACUGGGCGUAAAGCGCGCGUAGGUGGUUCGUUAAGUUGGAUGUGAAAGCCCCGGGCUCAACCUGGGAACUGCAUCCAAAACUGGCGAGCUAGAGUAUGGCAGAGGGUGGUGGAAUUUCCUGUGUAGCGGUGAAAUGCGUAGAUAUAGGAAGGAACACCAGUGGCGAAGGCGACCACCUGGGCUAAUACUGACACUGAGGUGCGAAAGCGUGGGGAGCAAACAG
rnacentral:rRNA from 3 species